GACGAACGCUGGCGGCGUGCUUAACACAUGCAAGUCGAACGGAAAGGCCCUGCUUUUGUGGGGUGCUCGAGUGGCGAACGGGUGAGUAACACGUGAGUAACCUGCCCUUGACUUUGGGAUAACUUCAGGAAACUGGGGCUAAUACCGGAUAGGAGCUCCUGCUGCAUGGGGGGGGUUGGAAAGUUUCGGCGGUUGGGGAUGGACUCGCGGCUUAUCAGCUUGUUGGUGGGGUAGUGGCUUACCAAGGCUUUGACGGGUAGCCGGUCUGAGAGGGUGACCGGCCACAUUGGGACUGAGAUACGGCCCAGACUCCUACGGGAGGCAGCAGUGGGGAAUAUUGCACAAUGGGCGGAAGCCUGAUGCAGCAACGCCGCGUGCGGGAUGACGGCCUUCGGGUUGUAAACCGCUUUCGCCUGUGACGAAGCGUGAGUGACGGUAAUGGGUAAAGAAGCACCGGCUAACUACGUG
rnacentral:rRNA from 1 species